AACGUAGGGACCGAGCGUUAUCCGGAUUUACUGGGCGUAAAGCGCGUUCAGGCGGUUUGGCAAGUCGGGCAUGAAAUCUCUCGGCUCAACCGGGAGAGGUUGUCCGAUACUGCUGGACUUGAGGGCAGUAGAGGGUGGUGGAAUUCCGGGUGUAGUGGUGAAAUGCGUAGAUAUCCGGAGGAACACCAGUGGCGAAAGCGGCCCCCUGGACUGCACCUGACGCUGACACGCGAAAGCUAGGGGAGCGAACGGG
rnacentral:rRNA from 1 species